rnacentral:sRNA from 1 species
GGGAGGAGCGCUCUUCCUGGUUGGGCCCUGCCCUGAGCUGCCACCGGGAAGCCAGCCUCAGGGACUGCAGCGACCCCCAAACACCCCUCCCCCAGCCUGGGUUACAAGGACCUGGGUCCCAAUUCCUCCAAGACCUAUGGCAUCAAGUGGAAGCGUCCCACGGAGCUGCUGUCAAACCCCCAGUUCAUCGUGGAUGGAGCUACCCGCACAGACAUCUGCCAGGGAGCACUGGGGGACUGCUGGCUCUUGGCGGCCAUCGCCUCCCUCACUCUCAACGACACCCUCCUGCACCGAGUGGUUCCCCACGGCCAGAGCUUCCAGAAUGGCUAUGCCGGCAUCUU